rnacentral:rRNA from 1 species
GGGUUGUGAGGUUAAGCGACUAAGUGUACACGGUGGAUGCCUUGGCAGUCAGAGGCGAUGAAGGACGUGCUAAUCUGCGAUAAGCGUCGGUAAGGUGAUAUGAACCGUUAUAACCGGCGAUUUCCGAAUGGGGAAACCCAGUGUGUUUCGACACACUAUCAUUAACU